rnacentral:ribozyme from 13 species
CGGCACACUUCUGUCCACAGAAGAGAAGAAAGAAAAACAAGAGACAAAGGAUGCAUUCAGCUCUCUCCCCACCAAACGUAUGUUAUCUAUGAAACAAGACAAGAUGUCUGUUUUUCGUUCCAUACAUCUUCUCCUCUUUUUUCUUUCCUUUUCGUAAUUGCAUCUCUUCCUUUUGAAGCAAAGGAUAAAAAGAAUGCUUUUUCCAAGAUUGGUCAUUUAA